rnacentral:rRNA from 1 species
AUGAACGCUGGCGGCGUGCUUAACACAUGCAAGUCGAACGGACGCUUGGGGCAACUUGAGCGUUAGUGGCAAACGGGUGAGUAACACGUGGGCGACCUACCUCAGAGUGGGGAACAACAGACCGAAAGGUUUGCUAAUACCGCAUAUGCUCGGUGAUUCAUUUUGUCGAGUAAAGCCGUAAGGCGCUUUGAGAGGGGCCCGCGUCCCAUCAGGUAGUUGGUGAGGUAAUGGCCCACCAAGCCGAUGACGGGUAGCUGUUCUGAGAGGAAGAUCAGCCACAAUGGAACUGAGACACGGUCCAUACUCCUACGGGAGGCAGCAGUGAGGAAUAUUGCACAAUGGACGAAAGUCUGAUGCAGCGACGCCGCGUGGGCGACGAAGGCCUUCGGGUUGUAAAGCCCUUUUGGCAGGGACGAGUGAGGACGGUACCUGUCGAAUAAGUCUCGGCUAACUACGU